UUAAUUGAAGCCAAAAAGAGGCGUAUUACUGUUAAUAAUAUAAAUGAACCUAAGUUCCAAUUAAG
rnacentral:tRNA from 1 species